GCGCCUGUAGCUCAGGGGAUAGAGCAUUGGUUUCCUAAACCAUGUGUCGGAGGUUCGAAUCCUUCCAGGCGCACCC
rnacentral:tRNA from 1 species